UUGAACGCUGGCGGCAUGCCUUACCCAUGCCAGUCGCACGGCAGCACGGGUGCUUGCACCUGGUGGCGAGUGGCGAACGGGUGAGUAAUACAUCGGAACAUGUCCUGUAGUGGGGGAUAGCCCGGCGAAAGCCGGAUUAAUACCGCAUACGAUCUACGGAUGAAAGCGGGGGACCUUCGGGCCUCGCGCUAUAGGGUUGGCCGAUGGCUGAUUAGCUAGUUGGUGGGGUAAAGGCCUACCAAGGCGACGAUCAGUAGCUGGUCUGAGAGGACGACCAGCCACACUGGGACUGAGACACGGCCCAGACUCCUACGGGAGGCAGCAGUGGGGAAUUUUGGACAAUGGGCGAAAGCCUGAUCCAGCAAUGCCGCGUGUGUGAAGAAGGCCUUCGGGUUGUAAAGCACUUUUGUCCGGAAAGAAAUCCUUGGCCCUAAUACGGUCGGGGGAUGACGGUACCGGAAGAAUAAGCACCGGCUAACUACGUG
rnacentral:rRNA from 1 species